UUCGGUGACUUAACGCUAUGGAACUACCCGUUCUCAUUCCGAACACGGUCGUAAAACAUAGUAGUGCCGAUGAUACUCGCUUUGCGGGGAAAGUAGGUAGUCGCCGGUA
rnacentral:rRNA from 1 species